UUGGAGGGCAAGUCUGGUGCCAGCAGCCGCGGUAAUUCCAGCUCCAAUAGCGUAUAUUAAAGUUGUUGCAGUUAAAAAGCUCGUAGUUGAAUUUCGGGAUCAAUAUAUUGGUCGUGCCUCUGGUAUGCACUGGUAUUAUUGAUUUCUACCUUCUGACGAACUGUGAUGUCAUUAAUUUGGUGUCAUGGGGAAUCAGGACUGUUACUUUGAAAAAAUUAGAGUGUUUAAAGCAGGCACACGCUUGAAUACAUUAGCAUGGAAUAAUGAAAUAGGACGUUUGACCCUAUUUUGUUGGUUUCUAGGAUCGACGUAAUGAUUAAUAGGGAUAGUUGGGGGCAUUAGUAUUCAAUUGUCAGAGGUGAAAUUCUUGGAUUUAUUGAAGACUAACUACUGCGAAAGCAUUUGCCAAGGAUGUUUUCAUUAAUCAAGAACGAAAGUUAGGGGAUCGAAGACGAUCAGAUACCGUCGUAGUCUUAACCAUAAACUAUGCCGACUAGGGAUCGGAUGAUGUUAAUUUUUUAAUGACUCAUUCGGCGCCUUACGGGAAAC
rnacentral:rRNA from 1 species